UACGGGGGGGCGGAAGCGUUGUUCGGAAUUACUGGGCGUAAAGGCUCGUAGGUGGCCAACUAAGUCAGACGUGAAAUCCCUCAGCUUAACUGGGGAACUGCGUCUGAUACUGGAUGGCUUGAGUUUGGGAGAGGGAUGCGGAAUUCCAGGUGUAGCGGUGAAAUGCGUAGAUAUCUGGAGGAACACCGGUGGCGAAGGCGGCAUCCUGGACCAACACUGACACUGAGGAGCGAAAGCCAGGGGAGCAAACGGG
rnacentral:rRNA from 1 species